GAAAUAUAUAAAUAUAAAGCUGCUAACUUUUUAAUAAUGAUUAAUUACCAUUUAUAUUUCU
rnacentral:tRNA from 1 species